rnacentral:rRNA from 1 species
UACGAAGGGGGCUAGCGUUGCUCGGAAUCACUGGGCGUAAAGGGUGCGUAGGCGGGUCUUUAAGUGAGGGGUGAAAUCCUGGAGCUCAACUCCAGAACUGCCUUUGAUACUGAAGAUCUUGAGUUCGGGAGAGGUGAGUGGAACUGCGAGUGUAGAGGUGAAAUUCGUAGAUAUUCGCAAGAACACCAGUGGCGAAGGCGGCUCACUGGCCCGGUACUGACGCUGAGGUGCGAAAGCGUGGGGAGCAAACAGG